UGGACUCCAGCUUCUCCUGCAGGUUCCGGAUCUCGUUUUGCUCGCUGUCACCUUCGUUGCUGACAAGCGACAUGGCCCGCAUCCGAGGAAACCAGUCCAAAUUCCUCUCCUAAAAGAAAAGACAUGCAGGAACCAGGCGGGGCAGGAAGAGGCAGGAUUGGUUUUCACGGACUGGGAAAGACCCCGGCGAUGACUUCCUCCAGCCUCCCAGGUGAUCCUGGAUGAAGCAGCCUCAGAUUCAUUACCCAUGUCAGGGCUGGGAACCAGAGUCUUCACACCACAGACCAUGGGGACCUGAUUCUGAACACCUUCAUCUGUCAUCCCUGCAGGGAGCGUCUUGCUUACGACUCCUCCCCUCCUGGUACAAACAGCUGGACGUCUGGCUUUUCUUUUCCUGAUAUCCUGGACUUGCUUGUGGCACG